GCCAGGUGUGGUCACGCAUGCCUUUAAUUCCAGUGACUUGGGAGGCUGAGGCAGGGGGAUCGCAAGUUCAAGAGUAGCCUCAGCAACUUAGUGAGGCCCUAAGCAACUUAGUGAGACUCUGUCUCGA
rnacentral:sRNA from 1 species